UAAAGAUAUCAGUGACGUAAACAGAGUCAGCUGCAGUUGAAUGCACACGGAGCUGUACUGAAAAUGGCAAUCCUCGAACAAACCUGCCUCCACUGUGACCUUUAUUAGCCCAUCAUCAUGGAAAUAAGGAUAAUCCGAGCAAGGCAGCAUCCUCCACCAACAAACUGAGGAAGUUAACCCUGGAAUUAAAGUUACAAGAUGGAGAAAUAGAUAUUUUUUUGUUAUCUUAAAACCUGACUAUGUUAGUCAAUGUUAGUUUCAAGACCACUUACCACUAGGAGAAAAUGGAAAAAAACAAGAUUACAAAAAAAAAAGGGAAAAGAAAAAAACAGUCUUUCUGUCUUCCUGAUUGAAGCAAUACAACAUACAAUUGGAUUAAAAAAAUAUUAAUCUCCUUGUUAAAUUAAAAGUUAUGGUAACUAAUUGAAAAUUUUGGAAAGUUUCGUAAGUUCUUUGCUUAUUAGUGGGGAAGUCGGUUAAGCAGACUGAUAUUCAGAACCGCCGCUGUGGCCAUUUUCAGGGUGAAUCCCGUUCACUUUGAGAAACGUGGACACGAUGUUUUCUUCUAGAAAUUGGAAAGGCACAGCCACACCAUGAGGCUGCAGACAUUUCUUGCACCUUUCCAUGAAGGCUUUCAAAGCAUCCUGCAACCUCAAUCCAAUUCAACUGUCUGAACUGUUGAUGGCAAAAGUAAAAACAGAAUUUCAAAUCAAGACACUCGUGGGUUUUUUAUUGUUGUUUGCUUCAGAAAUUAUCUUGUGACUUACUGGCCAACAGACUGUGCUGUCCAACGUCAAGAGGAACUGGAUCGGUAAGAAUAAUUAAACACAUAAAGGCGGUGCCCGACCUCACAGCUCCACCCCACACUCCUCAGUCUUUACACCAGGGAAAGGAGGCAGGGAACGAACUGCCAUGCGCCCUUUCCUCGUGUCCUCUCUUCACAACACUGAAAUUCAAACGAAGUGACCUGGUGACUUAAAACAACAAGACCGCGCACGUCUCCUUGAGGACGGCUGAGGGUGUCGCCUGGCUUCGCGGCCCCCAGGCGGGACGCCGGGCCGGGCUCCGCGGCGGGGCCAGCGGCCUCUGCACCGGCUCGGGCUGAGUCCUCUCUCCAGCUCUUCCCUCU
rnacentral:lncRNA from 1 species